AGAUUAAGAAAAAUACCAGUACUUAGUUAAAACAUUUUUUUUUGAAAAACACGUGAAGCGAUUAUGAUCAAAUAUAAACAUAAUAAUGAAGCAGUGAUGAAACACGUUAAAACAAUUAAGAAGCUGAUGGGUUGCAAUUUUGGGAAUAUACUUAAUUGAGCUUAAAUGGGUUAACAGGGUUUUAGAAAAACAAUUACGCAAUUUUUAACUACAAAUAAAAACAAAUCAAACGGACUGAACAAUAAUGAAAUUUCAACGACAAGCAAAUGGAGAUGGUGUGAUUAUUAAAUGUUCCAAAACAACAUGUAUGCAAGUAAGAAUGUGUGUGAGAAUAAUUGGACAAGGGAAGGCCAACCAGAAUGAAUGUUGAAUAUUUUUAUACGCUAAUACGAAGGAUUUACAGGAAACCAUUGGAAGACGAUCAAGAAGACAACAAUUUCAACAAGGACGAAUAUGAACUACAGCUCAAGGAAAGGUAAAAUUUGUGAGUAUAUCGUGGGGAAUCGGAAAGGACGGUAAAAGUUCCGAUCUAGGGAUACAUAAACUGAUAAAGCAACGCCAAAGGGAUUAAAAAGUAGACAAUUGUACUCUAUGGGGAGAGUUUUUUUUGUCGAAUAAAGCUUCAAAACAGUUGUAAUCCAUGGGGGGAUUCAAUAUGUUAAAAACAUUUCAAAACAUUUGCACUUUACGGGGAUAGUCAAAUGAUUAUUAAAGGGAAUGGAUAAAUAAUGCUUCAAGGGAAAAUCAAGGGAUAAAUAAUGCUUCAAGGGAUUUUCAAGGGAUAAAAAAAAUGCUUCAAGGGAAAAACACCUUUAAACUGAUAAAAUUCAGAGGGAAAAAAAAAAAUCAUAAUGAUUCAGCAUUUUAUUGCGAAUUGCUCAAAUAAACAAAUUGAUUGAAUGGAUUUGACAAAUUUGAAAACACAAAGUGACAGACAAGUUUCAUAAAAAGUUGAUAUAACAGAAAGGAUAUUCUAACAUGCGCAGUAUUGCAAUGACAAGAUGAUAGGAUGUAUAGAUCAAUGAAAAACUUUAUAGAGUAUUUUUUUUAUUCAAGUAUAAAAACAAUAGUCAAUUAGAACUGAUUUUUUUUUUCAGUAUCAGUAUAUCAAGAAGAUGUAUAAAAUUGUAUAAGUAAAUUUGAAUUCAAUUUUGCAUAUAAAUUGAAUGAUAAAUAUUGUUCAUACGAAGAAAACAAGUAAGACAUUUUUGUGGGAGAAACAAAUGUAGAAACUGAAGUAAAAUAUGACAGAGACGGGAGACGAAACACAAGGAUGAUCGACGCGUUCGUAUGCUGAGAAGUUCUACGCGUUCGUAUGCAGAAGUUUGUGAUGGCAAGAUGGGGAGUGGCAAAGUCAUGCGGGAGGUUGGACAUGUAACGGUGUUGAUGUUGUUGUAAAAGGUCAUAUCAAUGAGGAUCAAGUCGAAUUAAAACGCAAGUUUAGUAACGAAACAUUCACGUAAAACAAAUUACUAAAUCAAAAUGUGGAAUUAAGCGAAGUAAAGAUGAUUGAAAUGCGAAACAUCAAUUAUGGAACAAAAAAAUGCAAGUUGAGAUCAUACUGCACGUCUGAAACUAUUGAAAAGGAGAAGAUCAUGAUAAACAAAUGAUAACAUCAUCCGAUGUCAUUAAUUUACAAAAGCCAAAGUUGCAAAUUACACGAAAAGACAAUUUUGGACAAACAACAUGUUCUAAACAUUUGAAAAAAAAAUUACAUCAACCGAUGUAAAUUAUUCGAGAAAGUCAAAUGUGCAAAUUAACUUGAAAAGUCCAAUUUUGAAAAAAAUAUUGGAUUUACGAUCAAUUCCACAUUACUCAGCAAAUGAGAAGUCAAUGCACUCUCAAAACUGACCAUAGUCAACUCACAGCUGGGUUAUGAAGCAUAAUUCAUGAUGGAAACGACAAUUGCAUUAAUCGACGAAAUUCAACACCUUAGCCUCGAAAACUGAUCAAUUGACCAAGUCACUGUGGAAUGAAUAGCCUCACGAUAAAGACGAUUUUGAUGGAAGACGACGACGAUAACAACCAGCCGAUCAACACAGCUCUACAACAACAACAAAUUUUGCUUACAGUGGGAAAAAUGCAAUGAUUUUUUUAGGAUUGAUAAUGGAAAUUAAUUUCAAAUGCAAGUUUAUUUAAAUCAGUUUCAACGAAAAUAUUUUUAAUAGAGAAGUUCAAAACGGUAAUUCAGGUAAUUUAACAGGACAGAAGAUCAAAAGAGUAAUGAAAAUAAUUUUACAGUAGAAAAAUCAAAAGAGCAAUUAUAAUUAUAAAACAAUUUACAAGAAAGCACAAGAAGAACAAAUUGUAAACCGCGCGAUCACUACACCCGACAAUAUUCUUUCCAUAGAUGAUCAUUUCUUUCAGACGAUCAUCUAGCUGAUAAGUGUGGGGGAGAUUAACCGAACCAAUUUUUUUUAAUCAAUUUUUUAUAGCCAGCCAUUUAAAUAUUUUUAUGAUUUUUUGCAAAGUAAUUUUCACAAUUUAAAUUAUUAACUUUGGGAAUAUUCUUCCAACCUACAAAUAACUUUCGAUAGAUGUUUUUAAUGCUUUUCAAGAAUACAAACAUCUAGCUGGUAAGUGUGGGGGAAUGCAGCGACCUCAAAUUUAAAUCAUUAAAUUUGUCCAUUUUUCGAACCUCACCACAGUUCUGACCAUGCGCGCUUACGCAAGCAUAAAUAAUUUUACCCGUCGACUCGCGUUGCGCGACAAAUAAUUAAGCUUAUGUACAGGUGUGGAUCAUGAGUCAUCCUCACUUGAAAAGCCCUUUAUUAAAUUUCGCCAAUUGUUAGGCAAUCAAAAAAAUGGUUAAGCUUUCAAUUAUGAAUGUGCGAUGUUAUUACACAGGGGAAAUUGAGGGUGUGGCUUAACCAAAUUCAUUGGCAUGUUUGUUUAAUGGAGAAUUCGACCUUCUCAUUAUUGACUUACAUUUUUGAGAAUAUUUGAGGAACAUAAUUUUGAUAUUCCAAUAACAUAAUUUAAAGUUUCACGACAAUGGUUCGAACCCAUGACUUCCGAUUUUGAGGUGUACUCACUACACCAUACGGAAAGUCAUGAAGAAUUGCAGAGGUCUGCACAAUUUAAUUCAUGAGGUUCAUCGAUGCUUCUCAUCGAAACGGACCACUUUUAGUAGAACAAAAUUUAGUAGAGUUUUCGGGGACUGACUAUAAAAACCCCAAAAUUCUUGAGGAGGCCAGUUAGUUCCAGAAUUAGUUCCAGUCAGUUCCAGCCAGCUCCACUCCAGUCCAGUUCCAGUUCCAGAAGAAGCCUCAGACCAGCCGGACCCGCCAGCAGCCACCAGUAGCAGAGGCCCCAGUCCAGCCGGACUUAGCGGUGGAGGCCGCAGUCCGCCGGGACUUAGCCGCCGUGAAGAGUCCGCCGGGACUUAGCCGCCGUGAAGAGUCCACCCGGGACUUAGGAGUUCGGGGUCUGGCAUGGCUCGGCGAAGAGGUCUGGAGGACAAGUCUGGCUUCGACGUAGAGAAUUGGCUCGACGAAAGUCUUAACGAAAUCAGCAACAAAAAGUUGAGUGAUGUGAUCGUGCGUGUAGAAGUUGAAAGUGUUACCGCAAAAAAAUGUAAUCUUCAAAAAGUGUAAUAUACAGAUAAGUGAUGUUUA